UACGGAGGAUGCAAGCGUUAUCCGGAAUGACUGGGCGUAAAGCGUCCGCAGGUGGCUGUGUAAGUCUGCUGUUAAAGAGUCUAGCUCAACUAGAUACAAGCAGUGGAAACUACACGGCUAGAGUACGUUCGGGGCAGAGGGAAUUCCUGGUGUAGCGGUGAAAUGCGUAGAGAUCAGGAAGAACACCGGUGGCGAAGGCGCUCUGCUAGGCCGUAACUGACACUGAGGGACGAAAGCUAGGGGAGCGAAUGGG
rnacentral:rRNA from 1 species